rnacentral:rRNA from 1 species
CAUUCCCUACGGGACGCAGCAGUGGGGAAUAUUGGGCAAUGGAGGAAACUCUGACCCAGCAACGCCGCGUGAAGGAUGAAGGUUUUCGGAUUGUAAACUUCUUUUGUACGGGACGAAGAAAGUGACGGUACCGUAAGAAUAAGCCACGGCUAACUACGUGCCAGCAGCCGCGGUAAUACGUAGGUGGCAAGCGUUAUCCGGAUUUACUGGGUGUAAAGGGCGAGUAGGCGGGAUUGCAAGUCAGAUGUGAAAGCUAUGGGCUCAACCGAUAGAGUGCAUUUGAAACUGCAGUUCUUGAGUGAUGG